UACGUAGGGUGCAAGCGUUGUCCGGAAUUAUUGGGCGUAAAGAGCGUGUAGGCGGCCCGAUUAGUCCGCUGUGAAAGUCCAGGGCUCAACCCUGGGAUGCCGGUGGAUACUGUCGAGCUCGAGUCCGGAAGAGGCGAGUGGAAUUCCUGGUGUAGCGGUGAAAUGCGCAGAUAUCAGGAGGAACACCAAUGGCGAAGGCAGCUCGCUGGGACGUGACUGACGCUGAGACGCGAAAGCGUGGGGAGCAAACAGG
rnacentral:rRNA from 1 species